UAUCUCUGUAGAGUCUGCAUAUCAAUAAGCGGAGGAAAAGAAACUAACAAGGAUUCCCCUAGUAACGGCGAGUGAAGCGGGAAGAGCUCAAAUUUGAAAUCUUCAAGGUUCUACCUUGACGAAUUGUAGUUUAAAGAAGUGUUUUCUGUUGGAGUUUUGGUAAAAGUUCCUUGGAAUAGGACGUCAUAGAGGGUGAGAAUCCCGUAUUUGACCAUUAUUUCCAGCUUUGUGAUACACUUUCAAAGAGUCGGAUUGUUUGGGAAUGCAGUCCAAAAUGGGUGGUAAAUUUCAUCUAAAGCUAGAUAUUGGCGAGAGACCGAUAGCGAACAAGUACCGUGAGGGAAAGAUGAAAAGAACUUUGAAAAGAGAGUUAAACAGUACGUGAAAUUGUCAAAAGGGAAGCGUUUGACACCAGUGUUGUUUUUCCGAAAAUCAAUUACGAAUGUUUUAUUUUUGAGGAGUUAUGACUUCAUCGGCUUGCUCCUUUCUUUAUGAAACUUUCUUAAUGCACUUUUCGGUUAACAAGUCAACAUCAAUUUCUUUUGUUGUAAAAGGGUCAUUGGAAGGUGGCUUUCUUUUCGGAGAAAGUGUUUAUAGCCUUUGGCCUCUGCAAUCGGAGAGAUUGAGGUCUGCAGCGUAGAUCCUUCGGGGUUAGAUACAUUUGUGCUAAGUUAUAGCCUUUCAUAGACAACUUGUUGACUAUGAUCAGUCAUGUAGCUUACUCGCUUAUGCUAUUUUACCUACGCUUAGGAUGUUGAGUAGCGACAUACGCAC
rnacentral:rRNA from 1 species